rnacentral:rRNA from 1 species
GAUGAACGCUGGCGGCGUGCCUAAUACAUGCAAGUCGAGCGAACAGACGAGGAGCUUGCUCCUCUGACGUUAGCGGCGGACGGGGGAGUAACACGUGGAUAACCUACCUAUAAGUCUGGGAUAAAUUCGGGAAACCGGAGCUAAUACCGGAUAAUAUAUUGAACCGCAUGGUUCAAUAGUGAAAGACGGUUUUGCUGUCACUUAUAGAUGGAUCCGCGCCGCAUUAGCUAGUUGGUAAGGUAACGGCUUACCAAGGCAACGAUGCGUAGCCGACCUGAGAGGGUGAUCGGCCACACUGGAACUGGGACACGGUCCAGACUCCUACGGGAGGCAGCAGUAGGGAAUCUUCCGCAAUGGGCGAAAGCUUGACGGAGCAACGCCGCGUGAGUGAUGAAGGUCUUCGGAUCGUAAAACUCUGUUAUUAGGGAAGAACAAAUGUGUAAGUAACUAUGCACGUCUUGACGGUACCUAAUCAGAAAGCCACGGCUAACUACGUG